CCCUUAGAUGUCCUGGGCCGCACGCGCGCUACACUGAACGGAUCAGCGCGUUUUCCCUUCCCGAGAGGGACGGGUAACCUGCUGAACCCCGUUCGUGGUAGGGAUCGGGGCUUGCAAUUAUUCCCCGUGAACCAGGAAUGCCCAGUAAGUGCAAGUCAUAAGCUUGCGUUGAUUACGUCCCUGCCCUUUGUAUACACCGCCCGUCGCUACUACCGAUUGAACGUUUUAGUGAGGUACUCGGACUGAGCCUCAGAAGAUUCACGUCUUUUGUGCUGCUCGGGAAGAUUCCCAAACUUGAGCGUUUAGAGGAAGUAAAAGUCGUAACA
rnacentral:rRNA from 1 species